rnacentral:lncRNA from 1 species
CAGCUGACUCACAAUCAGAGUAGCGUUGCAAUGUUGAACAGGUUAACCGCAUAGGUGCAGACGUGCAGAUACCAAUAAUUUAAUCGAAUUUCUUCAGCAAAAUGUGGCAACUUACCGACCAAAAAUGUAAACAUCCAUCCUAACCUUAAACUCAGUGUGUGCCGGUCUGUUUACAUCGAGGUUCUUUCGUCCAAGUUAUUGGGAUUUCUUAGAAAUAAAAAGGAUAAAAUUGAUGGAUUUGUGAUCCUUGAAAUUGGAUUAGAAUCUGGGUUCAUUUCAAAUGUGUGAUAAGGCGAAGCAUGUACUGUAAGUGAGUAACUAUGCGGCAGCAUUACUUAUUUUCCUUUAACUUAGUUUAUUGGAUGAAAACCUGUGGAAAUCUACUUUGGAAUUAGACUUUAAUCUGUGUCAUUUUGGAAUGUGUGAAGAGAUAAAGGAGGAAUCAUUUUCGGACUAACAACAAGUGUGCAUUACACUGAACUGUAGAAGAUGAAGGAUUUGUUCGGACCCUCCGAAGCUCUAGCGAUGAUCAGGCCAAAUAUGCGACCCCGUCCUGCUGUUCCCUGCCAAGGUUGCAUGAAUAAAAUAGGAGUCAACAUGAAAAGGAAGGAACAGAGCCAGUGACGAUGCAAUUUUUCUAAAAUCACUACCUGAUCCUUGAAUUCUUGGAAUUUGUCUAUUCUUGCACGGAGCGAAGAAUGCCUCAUAGUGUGGAAUAUUUUGGAAGACCAUGUGCAAAGAAGGUACAGAUUAUUCUUAUUUUUUGGCAUGCUGAAAUAGAUAAGAACAUUUGUGAGAGGAUUCACGGGAAAAAAGGUUAAAAAAGUUUUGAUUGGUAGGUUUCUUUGUUUUUUUUUCUAAAAAAAAAAAAAAAAUGAAUAAAAAAUUGUAUUUAAUUUUAAGGCACUUUUUUGGUUUGCAGAACAAUUUCAGUUCACUCACCCAAAUUGUUUUGAGCCAAGGAAUGUGCUUUUGAAUUAAAA